rnacentral:lncRNA from 1 species
UUGCCUAAUUGCCAAUUAAGAGUUACUGAUUUUACUGAGUGACAAUCGAUUGUCAAAGAGCCAAAAUCGAUUGUCUGCCAGUUAUUCCAAAAUUCAAUCCCAGAUUUUACGCUUGACAAUCGAUUAUAUAGAAUCCAUAAUCGAUUACUGGCAACGUUCAAAAAAUCCUUUCCAGAUUUUACCAAAAACAAUCGAUUGUCCAGAAUCAACAAUCGAUUACUC